rnacentral:rRNA from 1 species
CGCAACUGACGCUCAUGCUCGAAAGUGCGGGUAUCGAACAGGAUUAGAUACCCUGGUAGUCCGCACGGUAAACGAUGGAUGCCCGCUAUUUGUCCAUUAGGAUAAGUGGCCAAGUGAAAACGUUAAGCAUCCCACCUGGGGAGUACGCCGGCAACGGUGAAACUCAAAGGAAUUGACGGGGGCCCGCACAAGCGGAGGAACAUGUGGUUUAAUUCGAUGAUACGCGAGGAACCUUACCCGGGCUUGAAUUGUGAGAGAAGGAUCCAGAGAUGGUGACGCCCUUCGGGGCUCUCACGAAGGUGCUGCAUGGUUGUCGUCAGCUCGUGCCGUGAGGUGUCGGCUUAAGUGCCAUAACGAGCGCAACCCCUCUCUUCAGUUGCCAUCAGGUCAAGCUGGGCACUCUGGAGACACUGCCACCGUAAGGUGUGAGGAAGGUGGGGAUGACGUCAAAUCAGCACGGCCCUUACGUCCGGGGCUACACACGUGUUACAAUGGGUGGUACAGAGAGUUGGGUGCCCGCAAGGUCACUCUAAUCAAUAAAUCCAUCCUCAGUUCGGACUGGAGUCUGCAACCCGACUCCGUGAAGCUGGAUUCGCUAGUA